UCCAUCGUGAGGUGGAAUCUAAAGGAAGCUGGAGGCAAACACUCGCACUGACGAACAGAAACCUUAUAUGAAGGCUGAAGAGGGACGGAUGAGUCUGCCUAACAAGACAAAGUCCAAUACUGCACGAAUCCCUUACAGUAAAUGAGGCAGUGACAUGAGUGGAAGGUUAUCGCA
rfam:Marinilactibacillus sp. 15R, complete genome.